GUUUACUAUUUUGGUGGCGACCGGCGCACGGGUGAGUAACGCGUAUGUAACCUACCUUAUACAGGAGUAUAGCCCGAAGAAAUUCGGAUUAAUCCUCCAUAGUAUUUUCUAAUGGCAUCAUUUGGAAAAUUAAAGCUUCGGCGGUAUAAGAUGGGCAUGCGUCCUAUUAGCUAGAUGGUAAGGUAAUGGCUUACCAUGGCUACGAUAGGUAGGGGUCCUGAGAGGGAGAUCCCCCACACUGGUACUGAGACGCGGACCAGACUCCUACGGGAGGCAGCAGUGAGGAAUAUUGGACAAUGGAGGCAACUCUGAUCCAGCCAUGCCGCGUGUAGGAAGAAUGCCCUAUGGGUUGUAAACUACUUUUAUACAGGAAGAAACACUGGUAUGUAUACCAGCUUGACGGUACUGUAAGAAUAAGGACCGGCUAACUCCGUGCCAGCAGCCGCGGUAAUACGGAGGGUCCGAGCGUUAUCCGGAAUCAUUGGGUUUAAAGGGUCCGCAGGCGGUCGAUU
rnacentral:rRNA from 1 species